ensembl:snRNA U6 U6 spliceosomal RNA
GUGCUCACUUUGGCAACACAUGUACUAAAAUGAUACAGAGAAGAUUAGCAUGGCCCCUGCACAAGGAUGACAUGCAAAUUCAUGGAGUGUCCUGUAUUUUU